CCUACGGGUGGGCUGCAGUGGGGAAUAUUGGGCAAUGGGCGCAAGCCUGACCCAGCAACGCCGCGUGAAGGAAGAAGGCUUUCGGGUUGUAAACUUCUUUUCUCAGGGACGAAGCAAGUGACGGUACCUGAGGAAUAAGCCACGGCUAACUACGUGCCAGCAGCCGCGGUAAUACGUAGGGGGCAAGCGUUAUCCGGAUUUACUGGGUGUAAAGGGAGCGUAGACGGCAGCACAAGUCUGGAGUGAAAUCCCGGGGCUUAACCCCGGAACUGCUUUGGAAACUGUGCGGCUGGAGUGCAGGAGGGGUAAGCGGAAUGCCUAGUGUAGCGGUGAAAUGCGUAGAUAUUAGGAGGAACACCGGUGGCGAAGGCGGCUUACUGGACUGUAACUGACGUUGAGGCUCGAAAGCGUGGGGAGCAAACAGGAUUAGAAACCCGAGUAGUC
rnacentral:rRNA from 1 species